CAAGUCACAAGCGUCACAAGGCCCUGAAGAUGCGACGGCGACAGCUUGAUCUCCUGCGCUGCAUGACACUAACGCUGCUGGCCACUCCUUCGUGGUCCGCCACUCUUUUCCAGCCGAGCUCCGUGGUGCUCAAGGACGGCAGACCGGCACGGAUCGAGUGUCGCAUCGGGGGCUCCUCGACCCGGGACACCACGUUUUACUGGUACCGUCAGAAAGGCGACACGGAGCUGCUGUGGAUUCUGUACUAUCAGGACACCUCGACUCAGGAAAAAGCGGAGUCGUUCGCCGGGAGAUUCUCCUGCACGAAACAGCGGGACCGACAGGCGGCCUUCUUGAUCAUAACGGAGACGAGCAGAGCCGACGAGGCCACCUACUUCUGCGCAGUCUGGUCAGCGCACCGCCACACAGGCCCACGAGCGGGUGACACAAAAACGUGUCAAGUGCGCCGCCAGCUGGCCAUACCGGCGAAGGAGCAGACCGCAAUGCGCGUGCGCACCCGGCGACUCGCAGCUCCUCGUUGUCAGUUUCAGCCGCAGUUUGGUGGCCCCAGAUGUUCAUUCAUUAUGGACGUGAGGGCAGGUAGCCGUGCCAUCUUCAGGUGGACCGUUCAGCAAAAUUCUUUAAUGCCAUGA